UGGGGAAUUUUGGACAAUGGGCGCAAGCCUGAUCCAGCCAUGCCGCGUGAGUGAAGAAGGCCUUCGGGUUGUAAAGCUCUUUCGGACGGGAAGAAAUGGCGGGCUCUAACAUAGCCUGUCGAUGACGGUACCGUAAGAAGAAGCACCGGCUAACUACGUGCCAGCAGCCGUGGUAAUACGUAGGGGGCAAGCGUUGUCCGGAUUUACUGGGUGUAAAGGGUGCUCAGGCGGAUUUGUAAGUCAGAGGUGAAAUCUUACAGCUUAACUGUGAAACUGCCUUUGAUACUGCAAGCCUAGAGUAUGGAAGAGAGUGAUGGAAUAUCUGGUGUAGCAGUGAAAUGCGUAGAUAUCAGAUAGAACACCAAUGGCGAAGGCAGUCACUUGGUCCAUUACUGACGCUAAAGCACGAAAGCGUGGGUAGCAAACA
rnacentral:rRNA from 1 species